rnacentral:rRNA from 1 species
UACGGAGGAUCCAAGCGUUAUCCGGAAUCAUUGGGUUUAAAGGGUCCGUAGGCGGUUUGAUAAGUCAGUGGUGAAAGCCCAUCGCUCAACGGUGGAACGGCCAUUGAUACUGCUAGACUUGAAUUAUUAGGAAGUAACUAGAAUAUGUAGUGUAGCGGUGAAAUGCUUAGAGAUUACAUGGAAUACCAAUUGCGAAGGCAGGUUACUACUAAUUGAUUGACGCUGAUGGACGAAAGCGUGGGUAGCGAACAGG